AUGCAAGUCGAGCGGGGGAAGGUAGCUUGCUACUGGACCUAGCGGCGGACGGGUGAGUAAUGCUUAGGAAUCUGCCUAUUAGUGGGGGACAACAUCUCGAAAGGGAUGCUAAUACCGCAUACGUCCUACGGGAGAAAGCAGGGGAUCUUCGGACCUUGCGCUAAUAGAUGAGCCUAAGUCGGAUUAGCUAGUUGGUGGGGUAAAGGCCUACCAAGGCGACGAUCUGUAGCGGGUCUGAGAGGAUGAUCCGCCACACUGGGACUGAGACACGGCCCAGACUCCUACGGGAGGCAGCAGUGGGGAAUAUUGGACAAUGGGGGGAACCCUGAUCCAGCCAUGCCGCGUGUGUGAAGAAGGCCUUAUGGUUGUAAAGCACUUUAAGCGAGGAGGAGGCUACUUUAGUUAAUACCUAGAGAUAGUGGACGUUACUCGCAGAAUAAGCACCGGCUAACUCUGUGCCAGCAGCCGCGGUAAUACAGAGGGUGCGAGCGUUAAUCGGAUUUACUGGGCGUAAAGCGUGCGUAGGCGGCUUAUUAAGUCGGAUGUGAAAUCCCCGAGCUUAACUUGGGAAUUGCAUUCGAUACUGGUGAGCUAGAGUAUGGGAGAGGAUGGUAGAAUUCCAGGUGUAGCGGUGAAAUGCGUAGAGAUCUGGAGGAAUACCGAUGGCGAACGCAGCCAUCUGGCCUAAUACUGACGCUGAGGUACGAAAGCAUGGGGAGCAA
rnacentral:rRNA from 1 species